rnacentral:lncRNA from 1 species
UUGAAAUAAACAAGCCAAUACCCAUUCAUAAUAAGUAAAAAAGAGACAAAAUAUCCAAAUUACAUGUUGAGAUUAACCACAAUCCUAGAAAAAGCAAUUUACUUUAUAGUUUCUACAGCAAACAUCAAUAUCUCAAGAAAAUAAACCAUAUUUACAACCAAAGAAAGAGAAAGAAAGACAAAUCUAAAGAGAGAAACAAGUUUCAGCUUCUUUCAAAGCUCAAUCUUCCUUGAUUUCUUCCCUUUUCUUCUUUUGUAAAAGGUCUCUUUUUUUUCCCAAAAAGUUACUCUGAA